UGAUGAAGGCCUUCGGGUUGUAAAACUCUUUCGACGGGGACGAUAAUGACGGUACCCGUAGAAGAAGCCCCGGCUAACUUCGUGCCAGCAGCCGCGGUAAUACGAAGGGGGCUAGCGUUGUUCGGAAUUACUGGGCGUAAAGCGCACGUAGGCGGAUAUUUAAGUCAGGGGUGAAAUCCCGCAGCUCAACUGCGGAACUGCCUUUGAUACUGGGUAUCUUGAGUAUGGAAGAGGUUAGUGGAAUUGCGAGUGUAGAGGUGAAAUUCGUAGAUAUUCGCAGGAACACCAGUGGCGAAGGCGGCUAACUGGUCCAUAACUGACGCUGAGAUGCGAAAGCGUGGGGAGCAAACAGGAUUAGAUACCCUGGUAGUCCACGCCGUAAACGAUGAUAACUAGCUGUCCGGGCACUUGGUGCUUGGGUGGCGCAGCUAACGCAUUAAGUUAUCCGCCUGGGGAGUACGGUCGCAAGAUUAAAACUCAAAUGAAUUGACGGA
rnacentral:rRNA from 1 species